rnacentral:rRNA from 1 species
GAUGUAGGGCGCGAGCGUUGUCCGGAUUUAUUGGGCGUAAAGAGCUCGUAGGCGGCUUGUCGCGUCGUCCGUGAAAACCUGCGGCUCAACUGCAGGCUGGCGGUCGAUACGGGCAGGCUGGAGUUCGGUAGGGGAGACUGGAAUUCCUGGUGUAGUCGGUGAAAUGCGCAGAUAUCAGGAGGAACACCGGUGGCGAAGGCGGGUCUCUGGGCC